ensembl:lncRNA
AAGGCUCUCAAGUUCAAAUAUCUCUAUCUCAAGUGUCAGGGCCACAGCCCUCCCUUAUCAGGACCCUGUCUUCUGCUGACCUGCUCAGGAAGGAGGGGAAUUAUGCAUCAAAGGAGCCGCUGAACCCACCUAGUGUGUACCAGCAGGGACGAGAGUGCCUGGGAAUCAGUCCAAGGGGGACAGAAGAGUAAGCUGGAUAAGAGAGAUUUGUUGAUUUGAUGGCAUUCAGCCAUAACACAGAGUUUAACAGCCUGGAAUGCACCCUAGGAUGUUUCCUUCUGGGAUGGCUCUUAGAAACUAGAAAAAUGAAUGGUCCACUUUUUAAAGAGAACAGUAAUAGAAAAGCGAUGGUAGAACUUACAAGGCAGGCUAUGGAGGAAGGAUUGAAAGGCUCAAAGAAGUAGCCAACAAGAGUUCUUCUACUCCAUGAGACGGGAAACCCAGCAUCUGACUUUGCUCCUUGGGAGAGCUGGAGGACACUUACCAAGACUUGGGCCAGUUUUCAGACCCAGGACACGUUGACCGAAGAGGAGGCUGAGCCUCCACCCGGGAGAACCCUGCAGCGCCAUGUUCUAGAGGCUGAAGUCCAAGAGGAGAGCGCCAGCACAGCGGGCUCUAGGGAACCCUCUCCAGCUGCAGAAGCUGACCGGCCUC